GAGCAGCCCUUGUAGAGUGGUGCUGACAUUGGGAUUAGGAUCUGUUCUAUGAGACCGUGACCAGCUGAUAAAUUGAAGUGGUAAUUUGGGAUUUAACCAAACAGAGCAGUAAAUGUAUCAGAAUGAUGAAAAUCCAAGACGAGAAAAGACUGGAGGAACCAUACAAGUUGGUAAUACAGCAAUUCACUGUACGAUUUACAAUGGUGCAUUAGCAACCCAGCAGCAGUGUGAUGUCAGAGCCUCAAAAAGACGUAUGCAAGAGAAGCAACUGGGCC
rnacentral:lncRNA from 1 species